rnacentral:rRNA from 1 species
AGCAGCCGCCACGGUAACACGAGGGGAGCUAGCGUUGUUCGGAAUUACUGAGCGUAAAGCGCGCGUAGGCGGCUUUUUAAGUCAGAGGUGAAAGCCCGGGGCUCAACCCCGGAAUUGCCUUUGAAACUGGAAAGCUAGAAUCUUGGAGAGGUCAGUGGAAUUCCGAGUGUAGAGGUGAAAUUCGUAGAUAUUCGGAAGAACACCAGUGGCGAAGGCGACUGACUGGACAAGUAUUGACGCUGAGGUGCGAAAGCGUGGGGAGCAAACAGGAUUAGAUACCCCUGUAGUCCCUGUCUCUUAUAC